CACCGACAGAGAAAAAAAUAUUUGCAGAGUAAGUAAUAGGCAAAAACAUUUUAUGCAGAAUAUAAAAAUCUAUGUCAGUAAGAAAAACAGCAACAAAAUAGACAUGCAUCAAAAAUAGGAACAAGCAAUUCACUGAAAAGGACAAAUAGCCACUAAACACAUGGAGGGGGAAAAGUGGCUCAACUUCAUCAGCAAUCUGAUUAAUGCAAAAUUAAAAUGACCAUUAGAAUACAUUUAAUCCCUAAAAGACCACCAAUGUAGAUCAACAUGUAACAGUGUCAAAAACUCACUGCUGAGUGAAAAAAAAAACAUAAAACGACACAUUUAAUAUGAUACCUUUUCUGUAAUGGUAAAAGAAUACAAGCACUGUUUUGGUUACACAAACCUGAAGACUACUUCUACAGUUUAAUGUUUACCCUUAAUACCUCAACUACUAGAGUGCAUUAGCAACUUGCUUGUAGUGUGUCUCCUGCAAUCCAGUUUUUCAAACUUUUUAAAACAUAGCCCUUCAUGAUCAAUAUGAGAAUCUCACUGGUCAACUUGUGGCAAUCUAGGAAAACGGAAGACUUUUUAUAUUACAAACUUUUAGGAAACAAGCACUAUACAUGUAUGCUAGAACUUAUCCAUGUACCUUAUUCAUAUACUAAUGGAAACACAAAAUUUAAUUUAAAACUUGGCUUAAUUAAAAGUAAUAAAAGAUUAAUUUCAUGAGAGGGUUACUUUCACCAGGGUGAAGGAGAAGCUUUGCAUAAGACCAUCUGAAGCCCACUAUGUAUUUAGGAACUACUAAUUUUCAACUGACUUUCUAAAUUAUUCCUGUAAUUUUCAAACAAGGUAAGUAUAGUUUUGUUCACUACAGGAAGUAUAAUACUCCUGAGAGAAAGGUUAUUUGGUGUGACCAUUCAGGACAGAAAGUAAAGCAGCUCAAGGACAGACGAAUCAAUCAAAAAGGAGCAACACCCGAUAAUUCUUCUGGUAAUGGAAAGACUGAUCAACUUAUUACUUGUUCUCAUUAUUUCUACAUAACUUUGAAACUUGUCCAAUGGUUGACAGUAAUGCUAAAUGAACAUGAAGUUGCUCCAUUACUCUCCUACUUUCACAAUCUAUCUUUUCUAACUAAAUUUCCACUACUUCCCUACCUAUUAAAUCUACACCAAACUGUAAAUAUUUGCCGUCUUCGGAAGAACCUUCAGGCCCAUAAUGCCCUUUCCCGCACUCCCACCUCCACCUAACAAAGUUACACCCAUUUUUCAGUAAGUAACCUUUCCAAAAUACCAUCUACUUCAGGCACUCUUUCUGAAUGCUUUAAAUGAAGACUUCUCCUUUCUAUGAGACACGAGCAGUAACCUUUUUGUAGCCAUCACCUGCAUUUUAAAACUUUUUCUAUCUUGGCCCAGUGCAUGGGUCACCAUAGGCUCGGAGUUUUUACUAGCAAUCUUGAACAGUAAGCAAUCUUAAGAAUUCUCAAACCAGAUAGCAACUCUAAACAGCACCAGCGUAGAUGAACCCAUAAAUAUUGCAUCAGUUUUCGUGUUUCAAUAAGAAAACUCCUUUUCCAUCUCUUACUCAAUAAGCAGUAAACACAGGUUUUCAAGAAACUUUUUCCAAAUAAGAAGGAAUAAUAGUCUUCAAACUUUCAUUCCCCGGCUUUUUGAGCCUGCAAAAUGGACUUUUUCCGCUACUGGACAAAAAAGUGAUGAGAACUUUUUCCCCCAUCAAAUUUAAUUUUUACUAAUCAGAUACUCCGGGAGGUAACUGCUAGAAAACAACCUCUCGGAGAUCACCCUAACAGCCACAUAUGACUGCUUAAGUACCGAUAAAAUUUCUUAGGGUCUCAUCUGCUUUGGCGAGCCGGCUACCUGGGCUUCCAUCCACCACGAUCGCCCUCUCCAGGUAAAAGGCGACAGGCCGAGAUCGCAGCAGCAACUCAACCGAAACGCAGCCGAAGCAGCAGACAGUUAUGCGUCACUGUCUCUAAAGGUGGCGCUGCCGCCGAGCCUGGAGCCCGAGCGCCCAUCAUGGCGGCGGGAGGAGUUGCUGCCACCAGGAACGAUCACGCCCCCUCUGCGCACAUAAGAUGUCGUGCCGGGCUUCUGGUACCGUCACCGGGGCCACUGUGGCCGCUGCCCGCACACCGACACCCCCUCACGAGCUAUGGCGGAAUUUUCUCUUCAGAUACCGCCUUCAAGAUGGCGGCUCCCCUUCCCAGCCACCCCUUCCCAACCGUCCCCUCAGGAGGCGUAAAUCAACCACCAUCUUGUCCCCCGUUCCUCCCCCCUUUCGAUAUUUACAUAGCCAAAGCCCGGCCGGCCGGAAUGCGGCCUUUACCUCACGCCUGCAGCCUUCGCCUCCUUGCCAGGCUUCGCCUCGGCGCCGUGCCCCAAGCCAGACGCGGCGCCGACCGGGAAACCUCCAGUCGCCUUCUGGGCCACCAUGCGAGGCUCCACCAGCCCCCGCCCGAUAACGGAGUCCUCAGUCGCUCUGGGCAGCCGGACUCCUCUGGGGCCUACCUGCGGCCUGCACGAGGCCUGCUGGCCGCCGUGUGCUACAUCGCCCGGCCUAGUGCGUGUAAGGGCGCCUCGCGGGCCUCCAGCUAGGCCGCCCCACUCGUGUUAGGACCCGCGGCCGCGGCGGCGCCCCAGACUCACCAGACCCGAACUCGGCCCGUCGGCGACGGUGGUGGGUGCUGCAGGCCGGUCUUUCUCUGGAGCACUGGGCCGGGCUCCGGCUGGUGGGGCGGGAGGAGGGAGGGAGGAGGGGCCGACCUCGAAGCUGACAAAAAGCGGCCCAGCGCUCCGGCACGGACUCGCCGUCAGCACGUCACGUCAUUGCCAGGGAGAGAGACCCACGAAAAUGCGGAAGGGUAGAUAGGCCCCCUCCUCCGCCGGUGGGUCUCCGUGCGCCUAGUGUCGCCUGCGCUCAGGCCACCGCGAACGGGAAGCUCGCCGGCCUCGCAAGAGAGGGGUCUCCGGCGACCAGCCGAAGUCUGUGGUGACAACGUUCUUUCCUCCUCCGCGUUUCCGCCCGUAGCCGCCGCACACGCGGCGCUGCCGCUGCCUCGGCCGUAAAGCCCGCUCGGGAUCGCUGUUUUCGACCGGACACGCAAUGGACCCGCGCCACUUCGGACCCGGUCUCACCCUGCCUUCUUCCCGGAGACCGAGCUCCUAUCCGCGACCGUCCUCGCCGAGAAUUCCGAUGGAGUUGUUUGCAGGCCUUCAGACCCUUCCGCACUGUAAAUGUGUUUUAUUCAUCCCUGUAGCUAGAAAAGAAAAAUUCAGCAACUUUCCGCCCUACCCUGCGCUCGCUUAAAAAAACGGAAAGAAAACCUUUGAAAUACAAUGAAAAUAGGCGUGACAGUCUACAUGGUUGUGUGGGUAACAGGAGAGUGAAAACUAUCUAAGCAAAUACCACAUCUUUUAAUUUGUAAAAUUAAUCAGACAACCUGAUUUCAAUAUAAUCAAAAGAAAAGAAGAGUUACAGUUUGACAGUACUUUUGCACUUUUCAGUAAACAGAAACUUUUCACGUUUACUGUGUCUGAUUCAGCAUUUGGGAGCCUGUGAAAUCUAAGUCUUGUGUGAUUGUUUCAUAAGUAAUAAAUUUUUGUAUUUACAUUUUCUUUAAUAAAUAUAGAAUAGCAGAAUUGGAUAUGAAUUUGUUUUUUACAGAGUGCCUAAACAAGACCUCAAGUGUAAGAAGCUUUAGAGAAAGGAGAAAAUGUACUUGAUUAAACAGAUGUCAACUCCAAAAACAUAUGUUUGCGUUUUCAUUAUUUUAAAUUUCUGGGUUUUUUUUGUGUAGAACUUGGGGUCUAAGCCAUGUCUACAAGUUACUAGUAAAAAGUUAAACUACUAAAGCUAAAAAAUGUGAUCUUGCUCUACAUUAAUCUAGAAUCUAACGUACAAUACUUCCUUACUAGAGACUUAAAAAAAG
ensembl:lncRNA